rnacentral:rRNA from 1 species
UACGUAGGUGGCGAGCGUUGUCCGAAUUUACUGGGCGUAAAGGGAGCGUAGGCGGACUUUUAAGUGAGAUGUGAAAUACUCGGGCUCAACUUGAGUGCUGCAUUUCAAACUGGAAGUCUAGAGUGCAGGAGAGGAGAAUGGAAUUCCUAGUGUAGCGGUGAAAUGCGUAGAGAUUAGGAAGAACACCAGUGGCGAAGGCGAUUCUCUGGACUGUAACUGACGCUGAGGCUCGAAAGCGUGGGGAGCAAACAGG